rnacentral:lncRNA from 1 species
AGGAUGCGGAUACUUUGCAGGAGUGAGGGGACAUCAUUAUGAAGCAUGAGAAGGUAGAGGGCAGUCUGCUCCCUGGAGGGAGGCCUCCUCCAGUGCACCCUGGGACACCAAGCUGGGCUGCCAGCAGACAUGGGGCCUGUGCCUGUUGGAAUCUACAGCAGUGCUGAUUGCUUUGGGAUUCUGCAUGAGACGGAGCUGCCCCCUGUCACUACCUGGAAGGUGAAGCAAAUGUGGCAGGAGAUGAGAUGAAAGAGCAAGUGGAUGGAAAUGCUGGGAGAAUGGGAGACAUAUCAGAACAGCAAAAAACUGAUUGAGUGAGUGUAUAAAGGCAUUCCCAUUAAUGUCCAGGGCCAACUGUGGUCAGGCCCCCUGAACAUUCAGGAAAGCAAGGCAAAAAAUCCCAGAAAAUACCAGGUCAUGAAGGAGAAGGGCAAGAGGUCCUCUGGACACAUCCACCAGAUCGACCUGGACAUGAGCCGGACAUUAAGGAACCACCUGUUCUUCAGGGACCGAUAUGGAGUCAAAUCUCUCUUGGGCUCACCCUGCACCUGUGGGACAUGUAUUUGCUGGAAGGGGAACAGGCAUUGAUGCCGAUAACAAGCAUUGCCUUUAAGGUUCAGAGGACGCCUCAUGAAGACGUCCAGGUCUGGCCUGUGGGCACCUUUUCGAGACCAGUUAUUUCAUACCUGAGCCAUGGACAAUGAUCCUGUUCUGAAACACCUUCGGGCCUCUAUGAAGAAACUAACAAGGAAGCAUGGGGACCUGCCACCCCCAGGAAGCCUUCAGCCUCUCUGAACCCUGGGGGGCAGUCCCAGGAGCCACCUGCCAUGCCCCGACAUCUUCCCCACCCCAGGCAGCACACACCCCUCUUUCUGGGAUCAGCAGACUACAGGUGUGUCCUCAGUGUCAGAUCACGGGGACCACACGGAGACUCCGAGGACU